CUCUACAACCAUGUCACUCUGAACAAACCCGAUCCUGUCUGAUCUCAGAAGCUAAGUGGGGUUGGGCCUGGUUAGUACUUGAAUGGGAGACCGCCUAGGAAAACCAGGUACUGUAGGCA
rnacentral:rRNA from 1 species